rnacentral:rRNA from 1 species
UACGUAGGGGGCAAGCGUUGUCCGGAAUUAUUGGGCGUAAAGAGCGUGUAGGCGGCCAGAUAAGUCCGCUGUGAAAUCUCGAGGCUCAACUUCGAGCUGUCGGUGGAAACUAUCUGGCUAGAGUCCGGAAGAGGAGAAUGGAAUUCCUGGUGUAGCGGUGAAAUGCGCAGAUAUCAGGAGGAACACCGGUGGCGAAGGCGGAUCUCUGGGCCUUACCUGACGCUCAGGCGCGAAAGCUAGGGGAGCGAACAGG